rnacentral:lncRNA from 1 species
CCCCCGGCAGCGGUGUCCACCUCCGUCUUCAUCGUGGCGAUCCUCAUCCUGUUGCUGCUCCUGUACCACCGGGACCCCAUGUGCUGCCAGUUCCUCUGCUCCUGCCGCUUGUUCCAGACCCCCAGCCAGUAUGACCGCCCCCCACCCUACUUCAGCAGCAGCCAACGGCUGGUGGGACCCCAGCGUGGAGCCUCCCGGCUGGAGAGCGCUGCCGAGAACCCCGGCAUGCAGGGAGAUGAGCUCUUCUGCGUUGGACCCCCCAGCACCUACCGGCUCCCUUCCUGGGAGCAGCCCCGCCUGCCAAGCUAUGAGAGUGUGCGGAAGAAAGAUCGCCAGCGGGAAAUCCACCAGAUGAUCGCUGAGAGGUUUGGGCUGUGGGCAGAGCCAUCCCAGGAGGUGAGCUCCCCCUCCCUGCCCAGGGGGCUGCAGAGUCCCUGCUCUGGCCCAUAU